GUGAGUCAUCGAAUCUUUGAACGCACAUUGCGCCCGCCAGCACUCUGGCGGGCAUGCCUGUUCGAGCGUCAUUUCAACCCCUCAAGCCCAGCUUGGUGUUGGGGCACUGCGUCCCGCAGGCCCCCAAAUCCAGUGGCGGACGCGCCAGGUCCCCGAGCGCAGUAGUUUCUCCUCGCUCUGGGCGGCCGGCGCGGGCUUGCCUCGCCCCCCGUAUCGCACAAGGUUGACCUCGGAUCAGGUAGGAAUACCCGCUGAACUUAAGCAUAUCAAUAAGCGGAGGA
rnacentral:misc_RNA from 1 species